ensembl:snoRNA SNORA63 Small nucleolar RNA SNORA63
CAGCAGGAUUUAGACUACAAUAUAGCUGCUCAGUGCUUUGUUGUCAUUCUCCCUGCUUAAAUUAAGGUUGUUUCUUAACUAUACCUGUCUGCUUUACCUCUGUAGCAGCCAGGGAUGCUUGGUCUCAUAUAU